rnacentral:rRNA from 1 species
AGCGAACGCUGGCGGCAGGCUUAACACAUGCAAGUCGAACGGGCAUCUUCGGAUGUCAGUGGCAGACGGGUGAGUAACACGUGGGAACGUACCCUUCGGUUCGGAAUAACUCAGGGAAACUUGAGCUAAUACCGGAUACGCCCUUUUGGGGAAAGGUUUACUGCCGAAGGAUCGGCCCGCGUCUGAUUAGCUUGUUGGUGGGGUAACGGCCUACCAAGGCGACGAUCAGUAGCUGGUCUGAGAGGAUGAUCAGCCACACUGGGACUGAGACACGGCCCAGACUCCUACGGGAGGCAGCAGUGGGGAAUAUUGGACAAUGGGCGCAAGCCUGAUCCAGCCAUGCCGCGUGAGUGACGAAGGCCUUAGGGUUGUAAAGCUCUUUUGUCCGGGACGAUAAUGACGGUACCGGAAGAAUAAGCCCCGGCUAACUUCGUG